AUCAUUGUUAGAGUGAACGACCAUGAAAUCACGUAUCUUUGUUUUGACAAUCAUAGGGUUUCUAAUACCCUAUUGUGCUGCACUUGAAAGGGACAAAAAAGCCGUACAAUCAUGUUAUGAAUGUUCCAACAUUGCCGACCCAUCACAGUGUACGAGAGUAGUAACGUGUAGAGCUAAUGAGGUCUGUUAUACGGAGGCUCAUUCGACGUCAUCAAUAUUCCAGUCCACAGUGUACUCGUUGGGAUGUCGAGCAUCAACCUUAUGUGAUGCAAUAUCCCAUGGUGGUGGUGUGGUUGGAAGAAAAAGAAACGUGCGUCAAUUGAACACGCACUGUAAUAGCUCAGUGUACUAAGAUCGGGGACUGGGGUCUCCAUAACUGUGACCACAGAGAGGACGCAGGCGUCAACUGCACGUUCGAUGUAACUACUAUUCGCGAUUUUGUGUUGGUGGCCGAUUCCUACAUCCAAGAGAUCUACAGAAUGGACCUGGAGACCGGCAGCUACUCCGCCAUCCCCCAGUACAGCGUCAACACCCCUAUAGGCAUAGACUACGACCCCCUGACGCACACUGUGUUCUACUCCGACGUCGGAUUACACUUGAUCAAGAGCACGGACUUAGAUGGAAAUAACGAAAAAAUAUUAAAACGACUAAACAGCGUUGCCAUUCCUGAUGGUUUGGUUAUUGAUGUUCAAAACCGCUUAAUUUUCUAUUCCGACACCGGAAAUGACGUCAUUGUGAAAAUGAAUAUGGAUGGUACCGGUGUUGUUAACGUGACUAACACAAACCUUGAUGAGCCAAGAGCAGUGACCUUAGACGUCGCCAAUCAAGUUAUAUACUGGACAGACUGGGGAGCACAUCCUAAGAUUGAAAAAUCGAACUACGAUGGCUCAAACCGUCAGACCCUCAUCGACAGUGGACUUAAGUUUCCUAACGGACUUGUAUAUGACGGAACAACAAACAAGCUUUACCUGUGCGAUGCUGGGACCAAUAAGAUUGAAGUAAUGGAUACCAAUGGUCAGAACCGACAGCUGAUCUUCCAGGAUGCUGGCGCUCAUUUCUUUGGAAUUGACGUGGACUCCCAGUAUAUUUACGUGUCCGACUGGACUAAAGAUGGAGUCAUCAGGUUGAACAAAGAUGGGUCUGGAGAGACACCCGUCGGACCCCCAUCAUUCGGGAAACUUAAUGGAAUAUCUCUCUACCACCAAGGGGGAUGAUUCAAGUGUUCAUACAUCAAAAUGACUUUCAAUCCCGGUCAUUUCACAUAGACAAUAAGUUUAACCAUGCUGUGUUUGAAUAAAAGUUUGAAAU
rnacentral:misc_RNA from 1 species